rnacentral:rRNA from 1 species
CAUAUCAAUAAGCCGGAGGA